rnacentral:rRNA from 1 species
GAUGAACGCUGGCGGCGUGCCUAAUACAUGCAAGUCGAACGGUAAGGUUCUGCACUCAGUAUUUGACUCUAGUAAGUCUCGCUUUUAGUGAGAUACUGCCUGAAAAAAUAGAUCUCUGGCUAGAGAUAUGUUGUCGAAUAAUGAGUGUAGAAUACACGAGUGGCGGACGGCUGAGUAACGCGUAGGAACGUACCCCAAAGUGAGGAAUAACCUCGAGAAAUCGAGGCUAAUACCGCAUGUGCUCUAAGGAGUAAAGCUUCGGCGCUUUGGGAACGGCCUGCGUAUGAUUAGCUAGUUGGUGAGGUAAUGGCUCACCAAGGCGACGAUCAUUAGCUGGUCUGAGAGGAUGAUCAGCCAGACUGGGACUGAGACACGGCCCAGACUCCUACGGGAGGCAGCAGUAGGGAAUUUUCCACAAUGGACGAAAGUCUGAUGGAGCAACGCCGCGUGCAGGAUGAAGGCCUUAGGGUC